rnacentral:rRNA from 1 species
UACAGAGGUCUCAAGCGUUGUUCGGAUUCAUUGGGCGUAAAGGGUGCGUAGGCGGCGCGGUAAGUCGGGUGUGAAAUCUCGGAGCUUAACUCCGAAACUGCAUUCGAUACUGCCGUGCUUGAGGACUGGAGAGGAGACUGGAAUUUACGGUGUAGCGGUGAAAUGCGUAGAUAUCGGAAGGAACACCUGUGGCGAAAGCGGCUCUCUGGAACGGUACUGACGCUGAGACGCGAAAGCGUGGGGAGCAAACAGG